rnacentral:rRNA from 1 species
GCAAGUCGAACGCCCUGUUUACAGGGAGUGGCAGACGGGUGAGUAACGCGUGGGAACCUACCUAGUGGUACGGAACAACACAGAGAAAUUUGUGCUAAUACCGAAUAAGCCCCUUCGGGGGGAAAGAUUUAUCGCCAUUGGAUGGGCCCGCAUUUGAUUAGCUAGUUGGUGAGGUAAUGGCUCACCAAGGCGACGAUCCCUAGCUGGUCUGAGAGGAUGAUC